UCAGAGGACUACAUCGUGUGAGUUAGAUAU
rnacentral:piRNA from 1 species